rnacentral:rRNA from 1 species
UGGGGAAUAUUGGACAAUGGGGGGAACCCUGAUCCAGCCAUGCCGCGUGUGUGAAGAAGGCCUUAUGGUUGUAAAGCACUUUAAGCGAGGAGGAGGCUACUAGUAUUAAUACUACUGGAUAGUGGACGUUACUCGCAGAAUAAGCACCGGCUAACUCUGUGCCAGCAGCCGCGGUAAUACAGAGGGUGCGAGCGUUAAUCGGAUUUACUGGGCGUAAAGCGUGCGUAGGCGGCCAUUUAAGUCAAUGUGAAUCCCGAGCUUAACUUGGAAUGCAUCGAUACUGGAUGGCUAGAGUAUGGGAGAGGAUGGUAGAAUUCCAGGUGUAGCGGUGAAAUGCGUAGAGAUCUGGAGGAAUACCGAUGGCGAAGGCAGCCAUCUGGCCUAAUACUGACGCUGAGGUACGAAAGCAUGGGGAGCAAACAGGAUUAGAUACCCUGGUAGUCCAUGCCGUAAACGAUGUCUACUAGCCGUU